rnacentral:rRNA from 1 species
CUCGUGUCGUGAGAUGUUGGGUUAAGUCCCGCAACGAGCGCAACCCUUAAGCUUAGUUGCCAUCAUUAAGUUGGGCACUCUAGGUUGACUGCCGGUGACAAACCGGAGGAAGGUGGGGAUGACGUCAAAUCAUCAUGCCCCUUAUGAUUUGGGCUACACACGUGCUACAAUGGACAAUACAAAGGGCAGCUAAACCGCGAGGUCAUGCAAAUCCCAUAAAGUUGUUCUCAGUUCGGAUUGUAGUCUGCAACUCGACUACAUGAAGCUGGAAUCGCUAGUAAUCGUAGAUCAGCAUG